rnacentral:rRNA from 1 species
CCUACGGGAGGCAGCAGUGGGGAAUAUUGGACAAUGGGCGAAAGCCUGAUCCAGCCAUGCCGCGUGUGUGAAGAAGGCCUUCGGGUUGUAAAGCACUUUCAGUGGGGAAGAAAGCCUUGGGGCUAAUACCCUCGAGGAAGGACAUCACCCACAGAAGAAGCACCGGCUAACUCCGUGCCAGCAGCCGCGGUAAUACGGAGGGUGCGAGCGUUAAUCGGAAUUACUGGGCGUAAAGCGCGCGUAGGCGGUCUGAUAAGCCGGUUGUGAAAGCCCCGGGCUCAACCUGGGAACGGCAUCCGGAACUGUCAGGCUAGAGUGCAGGAGAGGAAGGUAGAAUUCCCGGUGUAGCGGUGAAAUGCAUAGAGAUCGGGAGGAAUACCAGUGGCGAAGGCGGCCUUCUGGACUGACACUGACGCUGAGGUGCGAAAGCGUGGGUAGCAAACAGGAUUAGAUACCCGGGUAGUC